CCUACGGGUGGCUGCAGUGGGGAAUAUUGCACAAUGGGCGCAAGCCUGAUGCAGCCAUGCCGCGUGUGUGAAGAAGGCCUUCGGGUUGUAAAGCACUUUCAGCGGGGAGGAAGGCGGUGAGGUUAAUAACCUCAUCGAUUGACGUUACCCGCAGAAGAAGCACCGGCUAACUCCGUGCCAGCAGCCGCGGUAAUACGGAGGGUGCAAGCGUUAAUCGGAAUUACUGGGCGUAAAGCGCACGCAGGCGGUCUGUCAAGUCGGAUUGUGAAAUCCCCGGGCUCAACCUGGGAACUGCAUUCGAAACUGGCAGGCUAGAGUCUUGUAGAGGGGGGUAGAAUUCCAGGUGUAGCGGUGAAAUGCGUAGAGAUCUGGAGGAAUACCGGUGGCGAAGGCGGCCCCCUGGACAAAGACUGACGCUCAGGUGCGAAAGCGUGGGGAGCAAACAGGAUUAGAUACCCGAGUAGUC
rnacentral:rRNA from 1 species